GUGUCAGCAGCCGCGGUAAUACGUAGGGGCCGAGCGUUGUCCGGAUUUAUUGGGCGUAAAGCGCAUGUAGGCGGCCAUGUAAGUCGAUUGUGAAAUCCCGAGGCUCAACUUCGGAACUGCAGUCGAUACUGCAUGGCUUGAGGAAGGUAGAGGAGAGUGGAAUUCCCGGUGUAGCGGUGGAAUGCGCAGAUAUCGGGAGGAACACCAAUGGCGAAGGCAGCUCUCUGGGCCUCUCCUGACGCUGAGAUGCGAAAGCGUGGGUAGCGAACAGGAUUAGAUACCCUGGUAGUCCACGCCGUAAACGAUGGGUGCUAGAUGUGGGGACCAGUUCACGGUUUCCGUGUCGAAGCUAACGCGUUAAGCACCCCGCCUGGGGACUACGGCCGCAAGGCUAAA
rnacentral:rRNA from 1 species